ACCAUGACUUUCAUAUUCAGGCCCAAAUGUGGCCUAAAUAUUACAAGAUAUAAGCUGUAGGCGAAAAAACAGAAUUGAGCCUAAAUGGAAACAAGCUGAUAUACAAACGAAAGAGACAUGCCAAAUGACCCUUACAUGUUACUCGUUCCUUUAAAAAAACAAACAACCUUAUAUUAUACCUUGCUAUCGAAUUCAAAUUUUUAUGUUAAAACAUUUCAUUGAAAAAAAUAGAACAAACCAUAUAAUCAUCGCUUAAUGCAAACCUUAAGCAAUGUAAACAUGCUGACACAUUUAAACUUUGAAUAGUUAACCAAAUGAUACUGAAUCCUCAAGAAUCAACCUUCAAACAUCACACAAAAUCAAUAGCCUUAUAACACUAUUACAGGUAAGACUAUUUAAAUUUUUUCAGAAAGAAUACCAAGCUAAACUUAAACUGAGCCUUAUGUUAACAGAUAUAAUAGGAUAGAAACAGGAUCUUAAAACCACCAAAGCUAUUCACUUAUCACAAACCACAAUAGUUAGCCAACAAAUUCUAUCAAUACAAUUAUGUUAUAUGAAUUCUCCCUAACACUAACAGUCCUUAACUUGUAAACCAAACUCCAGUUUUACCUGAACCUCCAAAAAUCAUACUAAAACCUUCAACAUGAUUCUUGGACAUUUUAGAUUCAUUCAAGAGUAGAAGUUAAAUACAAAACAUACUUUCAUAGUCGUAUUUAGCUUCAUUAGUCACAAAAACAUCUACAAAAUGUGCUCAUAUAACUCCUAAACAUGCUAUCUAAUAUUGAAACUAAACAUCUAACUCCAAACACUAGCACGACUUUAUAAUAUGCAAGUAACAGCUCAUUUAACACCUAUCAUUACAGGUCUACUACAUGAUAUGAAACAAUAAGAAAAAUAGAGAAAACCUAAGUCAACACAGCUUGUAUUCCAUCAGACUUCUAGUUGAAUUACAUAAUCAACAUUCAAUCAAUGUUCAUAGGCUAGGGGAUACCUGGAAAUGAAAGGAAACAAGAGGUGAGGGAUCAGCAAUAGCAGUAGCAGAAGUUAGCCCAAAUGCAGUCAAUGAAACAGUGAAACCAAUAGAACAGUAGAAAAACUUUCAAACCAAACUCUUCCCAAGCCCAAGUUCAAUCCAUUUUCACCCAGAUGGCUCGGAAAUUGUUUCAGAAAAGGAAGACUUCAGAAAUCACAGACCAAAACUCAAUGGAACUGUAAUUUUUAUAAAAUUUUAACCUGUUUUCUAUUUUGCAAAAUUUUUCUCCUCCAAGUCUGCCCUAAAAUCUCAAGUAACAACGCAUUUAUAGGAAAACCAUUAGGGCAAACUUAUGGGCUCAGUUUUUGCUUUUUUUCUCCUUUCCCAAUUUUAGUUUUUGCUACUUAAUCCGUGAAAUAUUGACUUGCUUCCAAGUAAGGCUGUUUUGUAGCUUCUUGGAAGCUUGCUAGAUUAGUUAUUAAAAGAUUCCCAAGGUUGACUUCCUAGAUUACCCUUAAACCCCCUGUUAUUUCCUCUCAACAAACCACAUAGGUCAAUUUUGACCCAAAACUUAAACAAAAAAUUCAUGCGCUUCUCUUGAAAAUGGGCCUGAAAAUCCCAAAGCCCAAACGGCUUAGUUCAAGGCAUUUUGUUUUUGCUUCAGGGAACCCAAAUGGUUAUGGGUCAAAAUAACCCAAUGUUCCCCAAUAACAAAGCCUGCGCUAAACCCCUUCCUUUUACACCCAAGUCCAAUUCAGAAAAAAAGAAGAAGAGAAAAAUCAAAAAGGCAGAAUAAAUAAUAAACAAAGCAUUUUGGAAUCAAAUAGACUUCUGAGCCAACUCGCCCCUUUAGAUCAAAACUAAAAGAAAAUAAAAUAAACUAAAACAAAAUUAAAUGAUAUACCAAUUAACGAUUAGCCUGUAUUAAAGGGGCACAUGCAGAGGUGAUUUUGAUAAAAUAGAUGAAGAGAAUAAAAAAGGAUACAACAAAGAAUAAAAUUAAAUCAAAAAUGACAAAAGAAAUCAUGCAAGACCAGCAAAUGAACAAAAAUACCUGCCAACCUUGAUGUUCUUCGUCAAUCUCUCGAUUUUGACUGAAAGGGGUCUCAAUCAUGUAGUCUCGCAUGAAAACAUAUGACCAAGGUCCAUUUUGGUCCUAAUCGUCACCAAAUCUGCCGAUUUUUAGAGUUUGACAUUUUUGGUCUAAACUUCAAUUUAAGAUUCGACGAGCUCGGGGCAUAUUCAAGGAAAAUGAACUACACAUUUGGAACAAAGAGGGCUUAGAGGUCAUAUGGUGUUCGUUUGAGGUCGCAUAGUGGUGGCGCCCCCACCGGGGAAAGUAAGGGUGCUAGGGUUCCGCCCUUUGAUCUAAAAUUUGAGGUGUAUCAAACGGUUUUGAGAUGAACGGAGUGGGGAUUUUGGAUAGGGAGGUGGAGGAGAAGCACUGGUUUAAUUUUUGAAGUGAUUGGCCACCGGACACCACCGUGGGCGUUUUCCGGCAGGUGGCGGAUGGUGGUUCAAGAUGGCGUUUGGUUGGGGUCUCUGAGGGUGAAGUGAGAGAUGACAAGGGAGCAGGGGGUGUUUGGACAUAUAAGUAUAUAAUGACCUAUCAGUUCUGGAUCGUUAGAUUAGAGAAAAUCGACGGUUGAGAUUGAAUAGUUGUGAAACGGGGUCGUUUGGAUGGUAAGGGGCUGGACCGGGUACAAAUGCGGGUUUGGGC
rnacentral:lncRNA from 1 species